UAUUUAGAUUUAGAAAUUUAUGUUUUUAGUUGAGGAUGCAUGUUAUCUGCUUCUAAAUCAAAUGUACAAUUUUCUCAUGAUUUUUUAUAUUUUUUGGCUGCUUAUUUGCAAUGGCUUUCUUUCUUUUAUAUUUUGUAUAGUCUUCAUUAUUUUUGGAAGUCAAAUAUCUUUUAAAUGCUUCUCUUUCAUUCUGAAUAAUUUAUUUUAUAUCAUCCCAUUUGCUGAGUCCACUCCCAUGGUGUGGUUUCUUCUGCCUCAGGCACUUAAAAGCUGCUUUUUUUAAAAAUAGCAACACUAGCAC
rnacentral:lncRNA from 1 species